GAUGAACGCUGGCGGCGCAUUUAAGACAUGCAAGUCGAACGAAGAGUUUCUACCGAACGGAAAUGAAGAUUUAUCAGAUUUGAAGUUCACCAGAAAUUCUUAGUGGCGGACGGGUGAGUAAUACGUAGAUAAUCUGCCUUUUAGAGGGAAAUAACAGAGGGAAACUUCUGCUAAUGUCCCAUAAGACCACGCUAUGGCAUCAUAGAGUGAUCAAAGGAGCAAUCCGCUAAAAGAUGAGUCUACGGCUGAUUAGCCAGUUGGUGGGGUAAGAGCCUACCAAAGCUAUGAUCAGUAGCCGAGCUGAGAGGCUGGCCGGCCACAUUGGGACUGAGACACGGCCCAG
rnacentral:rRNA from 1 species